rnacentral:rRNA from 1 species
AACGAACGCUGGCGGCAGGCCUAACACAUGCAAGUCGAACGCCCCUUACGGGGAGUGGCAGACGGGUGAGUAACGCGUGGGAAUCUACCGUGCCCUGCGGAAUAGCUCCGGGAAACUGGAAUUAAUACCGCAUACGCCCUACGGGGGAAAGAUUUAACGGGGGAGGAUGAGCCCGCGUUGGAUUAGCUAGUUGGUGGGGUAAAGGCCUACCAAGGCGACGAUCCAUAGCUGGUCUGAGAGGAUGAUCAGCCACAUUGGGACUGAGACACGGCCCAAACUCCUACGGGAGGCAGCAGUGGGGAAUAUUGGACAAUGGGCGCAAGCCUGAUCCAGCCAUGCCGCGUGAGUGAUGAAGGCCUUAGGGUUGUAAAGCUCUUUCACCGAUGAAGAUAAUGACGGUAGUCGGAGAAGAAGCCCCGGCUAACUUCGUGCCAGCCGCCGCGGUAA